rnacentral:misc_RNA from 1 species
UCCUCCGCUUAUUGAUAUGCUUAAGUUCAGCGGGUAUCCCUACCUGAUCCGAGGUCAACCUUAGAAAAAUAAAGUUGGGUGUCGGCUGGCGCCGGCCGGGCCUACAGAGCAGGUGACAAAGCCCCAUACGCUCGAGGACCGGACGCGGUGCCGCCGCUGCCUUUCGGGCCCGUCCCCCGGGAGAGGGGGACGGGGGCCCAACACACAAGCCGUGCUUGAGGGCAGCAAUGACGCUCGGACAGGCAUGCCCCCCGGAAUACCAGGGGGCGCAAUGUGCGUUCAGAGACUCGAUGAUUCACUGAAUUCUGCAAUUCACAUUACUUAUCGCAUUUCGCUGCGUUCUUCAUCGAUGCCGGAACCAAGGGAUCCGUUGUUGAAAGUUUUAACUGAUUACGAUAAUCAACUCAGACUGCAUACUUUCAGAACAGCGUUCAUGUUGGGGUCUUCGGCGGGCGCGGGCCCGGGGGCGCAAGGCCUCCCCGGCGGCCGUCGAAACGGCGGGCCCGCCGAAGCAACAAGGUACGAUAGACACGGGUGGGAGGUUGGACCCAGAGGGCCCUCACUCGGUAAUGAUCCUUCCGCAAGGUUCACCUACGGA